GUCUCUAUAGCGUAAUGAAUAGCGCGUUGGACUUCUCAUCCAAAGGUCGUGGGGUUUGAAUUCCACCUGCCAUGGACA